GACGAACGCUGGCGGCGUGCUUAACACAUGCAAGUCGAGCGCUGAAGACCUGGCUUUUGUUGGGUUGGGUGAGUGGCGAACGGGUGAGUAACACGUGAGUAACCUGCCCUCUUCAUUGGGAUAACGUCCGGAAACGGGUGCUAAUACUGGAUAUUAACUGGCCUUCGCAUGGGGGAUGGUGGAAAGGUUUCUUCUGGUGGGGGAUGGGGUCGCGGCCUAUCAGUUUGUUGGUGGGGUGAUGGACUACAAAGGCUGUGACGGGUAGCAGGCCUGAGUGGGUGACCGGGCAGAUUGGUACUGGUCUACGCCCCAGAUUAAGUCGGGAGCCAGCAGUCGGGAACAUUGCGCAAGGGCCGAACGCCGGAUGCAGCGACGCCGCGUGAGAGAUGUAGGCCUUUGUGUUGUAACCCUCUUUCGCUCAUGGUCAAGUCGCAACUGUGGCUUGUGUUGACGGUAGUGGGUAAAGAAGCGCCGGCUAACUACGUG
rnacentral:rRNA from 1 species